rnacentral:tRNA from 1 species
AACAAGAUGGCAGAAUAGUGCAGUAGGUUUAAACCCUAUUUAUGAAUAAUAUUCUCUUGUUA